rnacentral:rRNA from 1 species
UGGGGAAUAUUGCACAAUGGGCGCAAGCCUGAUGCAGCCAUGCCGCGUGUGUGAAGAAGGCCUUCGGGUUGUAAAGCACUUUCAGCGAGGAGGAAGGUGGUGAGCUUAAUACGCUCAUCAAUUGACGUUACUCGCAGAAGAAGCACCGGCUAACUCCGUGCCAGCAGCCGCGGUAAUACGGAGGGUGCAAGCGUUAAUCGGAAUUACUGGGCGUAAAGCGCACGCAGGCGGUUUGUUAAGUCAGAUGUGAAAUCCCCGGGCUCAACCUGGGAACUGCAUUGAAACUGGCAAGCUAGAGUCUCGUAGAGGGGGUAGAAUUCCAGGUGGUAGCGGUGAAAUGCGUAGAGAUCUGGAGGAAUACCGGUGGCGAAGGCGGCCCCCUGGACGAAGACUGACCGCUCAGGUGCGAAAGCGUGGGGAGC